rnacentral:rRNA from 2 species
CACCGGCAGCUCAAGUGGUGGCCAUUAUUAUUGGGCCUAAAGCGUUCGUAGCCGGUUUGAUAAGUCUCUGGUGAAAUCCCGCAGCUUAACUGUGGGACUUGCUGGAGAUACUAUUAGACUUGAGGUCGGGAGAGGUUAGGGGUACUCCCAGGGUAGGGGUGAAAUCCUAUAAUCCUGGGAGGACCACCUGUGGCGAAGGCGCCUAACUGGAACGAACCUGACGGUGAGUAACGAAAGCCAGGGGCGCGAA